rnacentral:rRNA from 1 species
CCCUUAGAUGUUCUGGGCUGCACGCGCGCUACACUGAAGCUAUCAACACGUUUUCCCUCCCUGAGAAGGGCGGGUAACCUUUUGAAUCAGCUUCGUGGUAGGGAUCGGGGCUUGCAAUUGUUCCCCGUGAACCAGGAAUUCCUAGUAGACGCGAGUCAUAAGCUCGCAUCGAUUAAGUCCCUGCCCUUUGUACACACCGCCCGUCGCUACUACCGAUUGAACGUUUUAGUGAGGCAUUUGGACCAACGCAUCUCAGUUUAACCGCUGGUUUGUGUUGGAAAGACUUCCAAACUUGAGCGUUUAGAGGAAGUAAAAGUCGUAACA